AGCCCUGCCCCCUUCCGCCCUUCCCCUUCCAUCCCCUCCCCUCCCCUUUCUCCUCCCACCCGUCCUUCCCACUCCGGCACACCUCUCCCUUCCUCACUGAGUGACCUGGGAGCGCACCAGUCACAAAGAAGGUAGAGCAUCUGAUUGAUCUACUGUGGGAUAUGUGUCCAGCCCUUUGCAAGAAGAGAAUAGAGCACCUAGACAGGUUGCCCUACCGGGACUGCAGACCCGAGGUGAAUCAUGGGGCAGAGGGAAGCAAGACCAACCCCAGACACUAACCAGGAGUAGAGCUUUAGCCUUCCAAUAUUGACUUGGGAACUCAGUGGGUCUGAACUUUUAGGUGACGGUGUUGGGACAAACUUCAUCCCCAUAGAUAUUUUCAGCUGGGGUGGCAAUUGAGGUGGAGACUGCAGAAAAGGAAUCAAGGACGUGAACAGCUUACCACUGUGUAUAAAAGGGAAUACUUACUUAUUCCUCACCUUGGCCAGGAACUGACUCCUGUUAUGAAAUUAAUGCUUAUUUGCAGACUAUAUGUGACACCGAUAAUUUUUCUUCUGAGCUUUUAUAGACUUAAGUUUAAGAGAUUUUAUAUCACUUAAUGCAACUGCCUUUUAAUGCAUUUUAGUUUAGUGCUUGCAAAUGAUGUAACCUGUUGGACUGUCCAAGGACAGAUUAUUUUAAGAUUUCAAUGGAGGAAUUCAAGCCAAGUUCAAAUUCAAAUUAAGGGUGACACCAUCUCUGUCACUGGGAAAUGUACAUCGACAGUGCAAGGGAUUUUUAAACUACAGUGUAAGUAGAAAAAAAUUUCAGGAAGCAGACUCUGAGAUAGAGAUUAGGAUGCAGGAGAUUUAUUAAGAAAGUUCUUAAGUAUGACGCCUGCAAAAGGGAAGGGAAGGAAGCGGAAGUGUGCAGAGGGAGAAAGCAGACUGUGGUGCAGUCCAGCGUGUCUCAACCACCUCUGGGGAUCUCUGAAGCUGGAAUGGCCCUUCUGAGUUGCCUGACUUGGAUGAAGGGGGCUUGGUCUUUGUGCCUCCAUGUUAACAAGUUAUUGGAUGUGUGGGCUGCCCUGGAAAGGUGACCCGACAGCCAAGGCAAUUCACAAAGGCUGAUGGCUGAUGUCUGUCUGCCAACAGCAUUCUCAGAUGUUGGGGAUAUGGGCAUUAUGUCAGUAUCCUGUGAACAGCAGUAGUGUCCCCAGUCAUUCUGGGAGCAAGUGGGGGCACCAUCACUCAGAAACGUAAAGCAAGAUGUCAGAAAAAGCCUGGACAAGUAACCGUAACCAUGGCAACAGUUUCAGAACUUCAAAGUUAAAACAGUCACAGAGGAAGAGUGUUGGCAUCCUUUGUUCUUGCAUUGUUCUAGAAGACUCCAAGUGGAAAACAGUGGUAGCCAUAGUUAUAAUUUCAUGUAAGAACUUGGUGCCAAAUAACAAAUGUCGCUUUGUAGGGUCUAAGACUGGAGUGCCUGAGGAAACAAAAGUUACCAAAAAAGUCACAAUGCAGGGUAAUACUAUCAAUUGAUUUUAAAUGAUGGGAAAGAAUAUUUAGUUUGCCAUUUAUUGAGUGAAAAUAAACAAAACCUCCUUUAUUAAGCAUAAAUUCACCCCAGAGCUCUUAAGUCAAAUAAAAUUGGGCAGAAAGAUUUUUAUCUUGCCUUGAGAAACUCAGGUAAGAACAAAAUUUUAAUAGUAAAGGUAUAUGCACUAUAUUUUCAACAACUUGAAAACAACAGGUAAAAAAAAUAGACAUUUAGUAAAAUGUGCUGACGAUGUAACUAUUCUAAAGUAUCAUUUAAACAUAUGAAUAUUGUACUUUAUAUCUCAGUUUAUCUAAGUAAAUCAAAAGACAUGUCAUUUUACACUAUGUUAGAAGAGACAAUCCAUUCCUCUCAUCCUGUUGGUGAUCUAUUUUUUUAAUGUACAAAAAUCCUUCUAAUCCAUGUAAGCAGAUCUUUAAAAUAAAAGCCAAACACUGA